AUUGAACGCUGGCGGAAUGCUUUACACAUGCAAGUCGAACGGCAGCACGGGGGCAGCCCUGGUGGCGAGUGGCGAACGGGUGAGUAAUACAUCGGAACGUGCCCGGUCGUGGGGGAUAACGUAGCGAAAGUUACGCUAAUCCCGCAUACGAUCUGAGGAUGAAAGCGGGGGACCUUCGGGCCUCGCGCGAUCGCAGCGGCCGAUGUCAGAUUAGGUAGUUGGUGGGGUAAAGGCCUACCAAGCCGACGAUCUGUAGCUGGUCUGAGAGGACGACCAGCCACACUGGGACUGAGACACGGCCCAGACUCCUACGGGAGGCAGCAGUGGGGAAUUUUGGACAAUGGGCGCAAGCCUGAUCCAGCCAUUCCGCGUGCAGGACGAAGGCCUUCGGGUUGUAAACUGCUUUUGUACGGAACGAAAAGGCUCUGGCUAAUACCUGGGGCUCAUGACGGUACCGUAAGAAUAAGCACCGGCUAACUACGUG
rnacentral:rRNA from 1 species